GACGAACGCUGGCGGCGUGCUUAACACAUGCAAGUCGAACGGAAAGGCCCUGCUUUUGUGGGGUGCUCGAGUGGCGAACGGGUGAGUAACACGUGAGUAACCUGCCCUUGACUUUGGGAUAACUUCAGGAAACUGGGGCUAAUACCGGAUAGGAGCUCCUGCUGCAUGGUGGGGGUUGGAAAGUUUCGGCGGUUGGGGAUGGACUCGCGGCUUAUCAGCUUGUUGGUGGGGUAGUGGCUUACCAAGGCUUUGACGGGUAGCCGGCCUGAGAGGGUGACCGGCCACAUUGGGACUGAGAUACGGCCCAGACUCCUACUGGAGGCAGCAGUGGGAAAUAUUGCACAAUGGGCGGAAGCCUGAUGCAGCAACGCCGCGUGCGGGAUGACGGCCUUCGGGUUGUAAACCGCUUUCGCCUGUGACGAAGCGUGAGUGACGGUAAUGGGUAAAGAAGCACCGGCUAACUACGUG
rnacentral:rRNA from 1 species